UAUAUACUCCAUCCGUCUCAAAAUUCUUGUCUUAGAAUUGUAUAGACAUGGAUGUAUGUAAAUACUAAACCAUGACUAGAUACAUUCAUAUCUAUACAAAUCCAAGACAAGAAUUUUGGGACACAGGGAGUAUCAU
rfam:Hordeum vulgare subsp. vulgare, WGS project CAJW01000000 data, contig: morex_contig_1562874